GUGGUGAAAAUGGCGUCACCCAGCUACCCAGUCUCUAGUAUCGGAACUCUGUUCUCCACGACCAGCAAUCCGGCACCCGUCCUUUGUCUCCGGCUUCCGUUCACUCCUCGCUUUUACACUGUCCGUGACCAAGCCUUCAGGCUGCCAGGCGGCACCUCCCUCCUGAGUUUUAUCUCAGAUGCAGCUGUGUUUCCCGCCCCCUCGCUUCUGAGGGACUGCGGCUUUGACCAGCUCGGAUCCUCUGCCAGAGGGUCUCACUGAUCAGUGGCUGGAGCCAGGCACCCCCAGGAACAUUUGCACGAUCCUGUUGCAGCAGCGCCUCAGGGAUUAUGGAAAAUCACAACACGCAUCUGGCACCAGCCUUCGCCCUUCCCACCAGAGCACCGCCAGGUAUCAGCUUUGUCUUUCCCAGACGUCAGCACCACUCCCGUCAUCCAUGCCUCUGUUUUGUGCCGCUUACUCCAUGCAGUGUGGCUGCGGUGUCCCGGGAUGGUUCGAGUGUAGACGGAUUGGAGGGUGACCAACAGUUCACGGGCACAAAGAACACUUGGAGUGGCCCUGACCUACGGUUUGCAAGCGAAGAGAUGUAUCACGGACAGGGGGACCUCGGACUCUCCUGCCGAAAGCACUUCCCAGGUGUAGCCGGUGUUCAGACUCUUGAAAACCAGGUCUGGAAACUACCCAUGCCCCUGACUGAAUUGUCACAGUUGAAUCUUCCAGACCCCUCCUUGCUAACACCAGGGCAAAUAUUCUGAUAGAGAGAGCGGGGCCCCGGCGACUGGAAUGGGGAGAGUUGGGGAACGAGCUGGAAGAAGUGAUGGGGAACUCACUCUCCCUUUCUACCCCUUCUUCUAAGUGCUUAUCACUGGGUGCCGUGCAAGUCUUCUACUGACUGACAAUAAACCCUCUUUUGUGCAAUGUGACGGACUUGAUUAAAAACAUAAACAACAUAAACUUGAUUAAAAACAAAACAUAAACAGAAGCUCAAACACAUCACAAAGGCUGUCCCCACGCCUCUCUCCCUUGUUUUCCACAGCUCAGCUCUGUUCUCCCACGUGUGUUACACACAUCGAGCCCAGGGGCUCCUAAAAUACUUCUCAUG